UUGCAAUGAUGAUUGUUUUAAAUAUUGAUGAAAGCAUUGUGCUUGAUGAGAACUCGACAUGGUGGAGAUCAUGUUGAUUCUGAGCGGUUACCUAAACAA